rnacentral:rRNA from 1 species
GACGAACGCUGGCGGCGUGCUUAACACAUGCCAGUCGAACGGAAAGGCCCUGCUUUUGUGGGGUGCUCGAGUGGCGAACGGGUGAGUAACACGUGAGUAACCUGCCCUUGACUUUGGGAUAACUUCAGGAAACUGGGGCCAAUACCGGAUAGGAGCUCCUGCUGCAUGGUGGGGGUUGGAAAGUUUCGGCGGUUGGGGAUGGACUCGCGGCUUAUCAGCUUGUUGGUGGGGUAGUGGCUUACCAAGGCUUUGACGGGUAGCCGGCCUGAGAGGGUGACCGGCCACAUUGGGACUGAGAUACGGCCCAGACUCCUACGGGAGGCAGCAGUGGGGAAUAUUGCACAAUGGGCGGAAGCCUGAUGCAGCAACGCCGCGUGCGGGAUGACGGCCUUCGGGAUGUAAACCGCUUUCGCCUGUGACGAAGCGUGAGUGACGGUAAUGGGUAAAGAAGCACCGGCUAACUACGUG